UUUAUUUUGUGUGUGUGCUUUGUGGUCGGGAAAUAUGUUAAUUCUUCAAGUCUUAUUAAACUCCUUUGUCACCUGUUUGUGAUCAAGUUAUGUGAAUGAGUCAUGGGCACUUGAAAACGUAGCGCCAGCACUGUGGCCACUGGACCUCGUGUACUGAUCCCGCUGAUGGCACUUCCUCUAGCACUGUGGCCACUCGACCUCGUGUACUGAUCCUGCUGAUGGCACUUCCUCUAGCACUGUGGCCCACUUGUAGUUUUCUACAUCAACCACUGUUCACAGCAGAGAAAGCACUCUGAUGAAGUCCGAGAGCAGCACUGAUCUGCAACCACUGAGAAACUAUGAUUACAGCUCUGACGAGAUCCUUGGGACUCGGACAUUACCUCAGAAUACUAUUAACCCUGAGAAGGAAUCACAUCUCCUGAAGAAAUGGCUGAUUAUACAUCUGGGGAAAGAAUUCCUGCAAAAUUAGUCCAGAAUAUUCUUACCAGAAAGCAAAGAAGUUAUCCAAGACUAAUAAAGAUGCAUCAAAGACUUUAGGAGCCAAUCUUGGAUUGAAAUUAAUUAAAUAGGCUCAUGAACAAACUUCUUAAUCACCACUGGAAGGUUAUAAAGAGCAGAUUUGAUAUUUAAGUUGGUAAGUAAAGAGAGAAAUUCAAGCAUCCUGCCUAUUUAAAAACAACUAAUUUAUCUUAGAAUAACUAAUUGCUGUUGUAAAGAUAUCCUCUAGUUAAAGUACUAAAUUCCAAUUAGUCAAUGAAGAUGGAUUUAUUGUCACUGUUUUCUGAGGCCUAUUGAAUGCAUGGAUGAAGGUAAUAAUCACAACUGUUUGUCAGCAUCACACAUACACAGAUACACGAGUCAGGACGUGCUACAUGAUGGAGACACCUAGCAUCAUCUAUACAGGGGGUGACAUAAAAUCAUUGAACCCAAAUCUGACCAAAGCUCUUCCCCCUUCAAUCAAAUUACAGUAAUGUGGAAGAAAGAACAUAUUUAAAGAUGCCAUGUUGAUGAAGUCAAUCUAGACUUGGGACCAGUUUUCUUCAAUAGGAAAUGGGAGGCAGUAUUUCAACAACAACAACAACAACAACAACAACAACAACAACAACAAC